GGUGAACGCUGGCGGCGUGCUUGACACAUGCAAGUCGAACGGUAUGUGGCAACACAUAGAGUGGCGAACGGGUGAGUAACACGUGGGAACGUACCCUACGCAGGGGGAUAACUGACCGAAAGGACAGCUAAUACCGCGUAAGACCGAAAGGUGAAAGGUGCAACUGCAUCGGCAGAGGAGCGGCCCGCGGACCAUCAGCUAGUUGGUGGGGUAAGAGCCUACCAAGGCAACGACGGAUAGCCGGCGUGAGAGCGUGGCCGGCCACAAGGACACUGAGAUACGGGUCCUACUCCUACGGGAGGCAGCAGUGCGGAAUUUUAGAUAAUGGAGGCAACUCUGAUCUAGCGACGCCGCGUGCAGGAAGAAGGUCUUCGGAUUGUAAACUGCUGUGGUAAGGGAAAAAUGCCAUGUAGAGUGGAAAGCUACAUGGAGGGAUGGUACUUUACUAGAAAGCCCCGGCUAACUACGUGCCAGCAGCCGCGGUAAUACGUAGGGGGCGAGCGUUACCCGGAAUCACUGGGCGUAAAGGGAGCGUAGGUGGCCUGACAUGUCAACUGUGAAAACCCGGAGCUCAACUCCGGACUUGCAGUUGAAACUGCCAGGCUUGAGGACGGUAGAGGAAGACGGAACUGCCAGUGUAGGGGUAAAAUCCUUAGAUAUUGGCAGGAACGCCGGUGACGAAAGUGGUUUUCUGGGCCGGUUCUGACACUGAUGCUCGAAAGCCAGGGGAGCGAACG
rnacentral:rRNA from 1 species